CAGUAGCCGCGGUAAUACGAGGGGUGCAAGCGUUAAUCGGAAUUACUGGGCGUAAAGCGUGCGUAGGCGGUGAGUUAAGUCUGCUGUGAAAUCCCCGGGCUCAACCUGGGAAUGGCAGUGGAUACUGGCUCGCUAGAGUGUGUCAGAGGAUGGUGGAAUUCCCGGUGUAGCGGUGAAAUGCGUAGAUAUCGGAAGGAACACCUGUGGCGAAAGCGGCUCACUGGACCAUUACUGACGCUGAGGCGCGAAAGCUAGGGGAGCAAACAGGAUUAGAUACCCCCGUAGUCCCUGUCUCUUAUAC
rnacentral:rRNA from 1 species